rnacentral:rRNA from 1 species
AGUGAACGCUGGCGGUAGGCCUAACACAUGCAAGUCGAACGGCAGCACAGUAAGAGCUUGCUCUUACGGGUGGCGAGUGGCGGACGGGUGAGGAAUACAUCGGAAUCUACUUUUUCGUGGGGGAUAACGUAGGGAAACUUACGCUAAUACCGCAUACGACCUACGGGUGAAAGCAGGGGAUCUUCGGACCUUGCGCGAUUGAAUGAGCCGAUGUCGGAUUAGCUAGUUGGCGGGGUAAAGGCCCACCAAGGCGACGAUCCGUAGCUGGUCUGAGAGGAUGAUCAGCCAAACUGGAACUGAGACACGGUCCAGACUCCUACGGGAGGCAGCAGUGGGGAAUAUUGGACAAUGGGCGCAAGCCUGAUCCAGCCAUACCGCGUGGGUGAAGAAGGCCUUCGGGUUGUAAAGCCCUUUUGUUGGGAAAGAAAGCAGCAGGUUAAUACCCCGCUGUUCUGACGGUACCCAAAGAAUAAGCACCGGCUAACUUCGUG